UGUUAAAAUUUUCAUCUAUUUUUACAAUUAAAAACUAGCAUGGCUAACAAAAUAACCAGCAUGCCACUAGUAACUCAUGCUGAUACACAGGGACUAGCUUUUAAUAGUAAAACUAGAUGAAAUUUUUAACA
rfam:Gossypium raimondii Chr02_contig_1395, whole genome shotgun sequence.